rnacentral:rRNA from 1 species
GAUGAACGCUGGCGGCGUGCCUAAUACAUGCAAGUCGAGCGAACAGACGAGGAGCUUGCUCCUUCGACGUUAGCGGCGGACGGGUGAGUAACACGUAGGUAACCUACCUAUAAGACUGGGGUAACUUCGGGAAACCGGAGCUAAUACCGGAUAAUAUUUCGAACCGCAUGGUUCGAUAGUGAAAGAUGGCUUUGCUAUCACUUAUAGAUGGACCUGCGCCGUAUUAGCUAGUUGGUAAGGUAACGGCUUACCAAGGCAACGAUACGUAGCCGACCUGAGAGGGUGAUCGGCCACACUGGAACUGAGACACGGUCCAGACUCCUACGGGAGGCAGCAGUAGGGAAUCUUCCGCAAAGGGCGAAAGCCUGACGGAGCAACGCCGCGUGAGUGAUGAAGGUCUUCGGAUCGUAAAACUCUGUUAUUAGGGAAGAACAAACGUGUAAGUAACUGUGCACGUCUUGACGGUACCUAAUCAGAAAGCCACGGCUAACUACGUG